rnacentral:rRNA from 1 species
CCUACGGGAGGCAGCAGUGGGGAAUCUUGCGCAAUGGGCGAAAGCCUGACGCAGCGACGCCGCGUGGGGGAUGAAGCUUUUCGGAGUGUAAACCCCUUUCGACCGGGACGAAUGCCCGCAAGGGAGUGACGGUACCGGUAGAAGAAGCCCCGGCUAACUACGUGCCAGCAGCCGCGGUAAGACGUAGGGGGCCAGCGUUGUUCGGAAUUACUGGGUGUAAAGGGUUCGUAGGCGGUGUGGCAAGUCGGGAGUGAAAUUUCUGGGCUUAACCCAGAGGCUGCUUCCGAAACUGCUGUGCUCGAGUGUGGGAGAGGCGCGUGGAAUUGCAGGUGUAGCGGUGAAAUGCGUAGAUAUCUGCAGGAACACCCGUGGCGAAAGCGGCGCGCUGGACCACUACUGACGCUGAGGAACGAAAGCUAGGGGAGCAAACAGGAUUAGAUACCCUGGUAGUCCUAGCCCUAAACGAUCAGGACUUGGGGUGCCACCCGUUCGGGUGUCGUCCCGGAGCUAACGCGUUAAGUCCUGCACCUGGGGAGUACGGUCGCAAGACUGAAACUCAAAGGAAUUGACGG